rnacentral:rRNA from 1 species
UACGUAGGGGGCAAGCGUUGUUCGGAUUUACUGGGCGUAAAGCGCACGUAGGCGGAUCUUUAAGUCAGAGGUGAAAUCCCAAGGCUCAACCUUGGAACUGCCUUUGAUACUGGGGAUCUUGAGUCCGGGAGAGGUGAGUGGAACUGCGAGUGUAGAGGUGAAAUUCGUAGAUAUUCGCAAGAACACCAGUGGCGAAGGCGGCUCACUGGCCCGGUACUGACGCUGAGGUGCGAAAGCGUGGGGAGCAAACAGG